UAGCAAUAAUGCCUAAUAACGGCGUCCGCGCCGUGGCGACGCCCGUCGCGCGAGAAGAGCCGCUCCUACGGCGGGAAGACGACGCAGCACCGCCGAAGGCCGCCGGUGGCGAUGGGCAGCCGCUCGACGCGGGCGCCCGUGACGCCGGCAGCUUCCCGUGGCUGCCAGCCGCGGGCGUCGUGUACCUCACGCUCAGCUCCGCGAUGGCCCUGCACCGCUGCUGGCCCGACCCCGGCGACGUCGCGUUCGUCGUGUCGGCGUCGCCGCCGUCAUGCCGGCCGCCGUUGCUGCCAUCGUCUGGCUCAUGGGUCUCACCACCAUCUGCGGUGGCUUCCUCGCUUUCUUCUGCUUCCAGAAGAAGGCGUGACUUUCGCUCUAUGGACAGAGAGAGAAAAAUGUCGGAGGUUGACGAUGGACAAGAUUACCGGGUUAUCAAAAUUUUAUUGGUGAUAAGCAAAAUUUUUUGCACGAAUUUAUAGAAAUGACUCAGUUUGUC
rnacentral:misc_RNA from 1 species